rnacentral:rRNA from 1 species
UACGUAGGGUGCGAGCGUUAAUCGGAAUUACUGGGCGUAAAGUGUGCGCAGGCGGCAGAGCAAGUCGAGUGUGAAAGCCCCGGGCUUAACUUGGGAAUUGCGCUCGAAACUACUUUGCUGGAGUGUGGCAGAGGAAGGUGGAAUUCCACGUGUAGCGGUGAAGUGCGUAGAGAUGUGGAGGAACACCAAUGGCGAAGGCAGCCUUCUGGGCCAACACUGACGCUCAUGCACGAAAGCGUGGGGAGCAAACAGG